rnacentral:rRNA from 1 species
UACGGGGGGAGCAAGCGUUGUUCGGAUUUACUGGGCGUAAAGGGCGCGUAGGCGGCCAGCACAAGUCAGUUGUGAAAUCUCCGGGCUUAACUCGGAAAGGUCAACUGAUACUGUGCGGCUAGAGUGCAGAAGGGGCAACUGGAAUUCUCGGUGUAGCGGUGAAAUGCGUAGAUAUCGAGAGGAACACCUGCGGCGAAGGCGGGUAGCUGGGCCGACACUGACGCUGAUGCGCGAAAGCCAGGGGAGCGAACGGG